rnacentral:lncRNA from 1 species
GGCCUUUUGUGAUCAUAGAAAAAGUCUUAGAUCUUUGAGUUCAGCUCAUGAUAAAAGGGGGCAAAAACAAAAGUUGUUCAGUGUAUUUGCAAAGCUAGCAUAGCAUACAACUAGAAUGGGCAGAAACAUUGUUGAAAGACAAUUACAAACAAGUUCAACUUUUGAACAGGGAGUGUAAAAGAAACCAAAGAAUUAGAAACCUACAUAGGACUCUUUGGGGAUUUUGGAAUUUGCACUGUGCAAUCAAUGAAAGACCACUUUCACGGGGUUCCAUCUGCCUGGAACUGAAAGAUGAGAGAGACCGGCAUCAGUUUCCACCGGCUAAUACGACGCAACACAACGAGCUGGCCCAAAGCACGUCAGCUGUAGCCAAUGUAUCACAUUAGUAGCAGACUUAAUGCUAUGAGAUGUAACUGCGUGGCUAAAAGAACAGUGCAUCACCAGGCAGACAAGGCCAGCUUCCAUUAGGCCCUAGCCAUUUCUUCUCUGUUAAUCUUUGAUGGGACUGUCAUGUGAGGAUAAAUGCCAAACAGCUCUACCUCUUUCACUGGGUCUUUGAUUUGUGACCUGAAUGCACUUAAUCUCAAUGGCAUUAUAGAUUUAUACCUAUUUUUAUGUAGAGAAUCAC